GGUUGCAUAGUCUAGUGGUUAUGAUAUCUGCUUUACAUCGCGUUCGCAGAGGGUCUCAGGUUCGAUCCCUGAUGCAGCCA